CUACGGAGGGUGCAAGCGUUAUUCGGAAUCACUGGGCGUAAAGGGUGCGUAGGCGGUUUGAUAAGUCUGAUGUGAAAUCCUAUGGCUCAACCAUAGAACUGCAUUGGAAACUGUCAAACUAGAAUACUGAAGGGGCAGAUGGAAUUAGUGGUGUAGGGGUAAAAUCCGUAGAUAUCACUAGGAAUACCGAAAGCGAAAGCGAUCUGCUGGGAAGUUAUUGACGCUGAGGCACGAAAGCGUGGGGAGCAAACGGGAUUAGAUACCCCGGUAGUCC
rnacentral:rRNA from 1 species